GGAGGGUGGGUGAGGUGGGCGCCGGGUCCCGGUCCCGAGGGCGCUUCCCCACCACACAACAGUGAAGUGUCCUGGGUGUCGCGCACUCCCGGUUGAUGUGGGUACAGCACGUUGCUGGUCCACUUCACCAAUUCACUCGUUUGCGUCUCAGGGACGGCCGCGUGGUGCGGAAGUGGAGUCGUUGAAGCGAGACUUCGAAUAAU
rnacentral:lncRNA from 1 species